rnacentral:rRNA from 1 species
UUACGGCCACAUCAGGUUAAAACACCGGUCCUUGUACAAUCACCGAAGUUAAGCAAAGUCGAGCCUGGUUAGUACCUAGAUUGGUGACCGCUUGGGAAUAACGGAU